rnacentral:rRNA from 1 species
ACGCCGCGUGAGUGAGAGGCUUUCGGAUCGUAAAACUCUGUUGUAAGGGAAGAACAAAUUCAAUAGUAACUGGUUGUACCUUGACGGUACCUUAUUAGAAAGCCACGGCUAACUACGUGCCAGCAGCCGCGGUAAUACGUAGGUGGCAAGCGUUGUCCGGAAUUAUUGGGCGUAAAGGGCGCGCAGGCGGUUCUUUAAGUCUGAUGUGAAAGCCCACGGCUCAACCGUGGAGGGUCAUUGGAAACUGGGAGACUUGAGUGCAGAAGAGGAAAGUGGAAUUCCAUGUGUAGCGGUGAAAUAA